rnacentral:rRNA from 1 species
UGCCGGCGACCGGCGGACGGGUGCGUAACGCGUAUGUAACCUACCUUUGACAGGGGGAUAACAUCGAGAAAUUGGUACUAAUACCCCAUAACAUCACCGGAGGCAUCUUCGGUGGUUGAAAACUCAGGUGGUCAAGAGAUGGACAUGCGUUGUAUUAGCUAGUUGGUGAGGUAACGGCUCACCAAGGCGACGAUACAUAGGGGGACUGAGAGGUCAACCCCCCACAUUGGUACUGAGACACGGACCAAACUCCUACGGGAGGCAGCAG